rnacentral:lncRNA from 1 species
AAAAAAAAGGAAUGGUUAAGGAUACAAUCAACCAAGAAAUUAGUACUUGUAACUUCUAAGCUCUAUUCGGUAAAAGUAACUAAUAAGUACAAAUAAAUGAUAAUUGAAAUCGUCCAAAUCACUUCGAGAUCUUGUUUUUAGUUUCUAAUCAUUAGAGGUUUGUGUAAAUCCAUAUGAUUCUCAUUAUUCUAUUUCUCUUUCUUUUCAACCAAUCACUCUUUCAUUCCAUCCUUUUUUUUUUACUCUUCAAUAUCCUUGAGUUCCCAUUUUUCCCCUUCAUCUAACAUAAUAAAAGACGAAAUACAUGAAGAACCCCUAUUGAAAUCGAACUAAUUCAAAUCCAAUAGGAAUCAAAUCAAGAUAUACAAUUGAUAACAAUAUGCUGCAUAGAAUUAGAAUUAGAUAUGGAAUCCAGUUCCAUAUAGAAGGGAAUUCUAUAUAUAUCGGAUUAGAUAAUAAAUCUAACUUAGGAAUAAAAAAACCCAUAUACAUUUAUUUCUUCUAUUUUGUUUGCGUAUUUUCUCAUUUUCUAUUGAACCCGAUUCUAAAAUCAUUCCUUAGAAAUCUGCACAAAAGAU